GGGCAGUCGGGGUUCGUGAGGGGAAGGGGAUGGGGACAGCCCGGGCCCUGCUGGUGGUGGCGUCAGAACGCCAGGCAAAACUGUUUUUUGAGCUCAGACUUUUCCCCAGUCUGGAAUGAAUUUGGUCUUCCACUGAGCAGAAGUGAACAGAAGGGAAAAAGUCUGGUCUUCCAGAAGAGGCAGGUGCUCAUGCAGAAUGGUGAAUGUAGUUCUUGUGCCCAUGACAACAUAAAAGUGAUGAAUCAGCAAAUAUAUACAGGCUUUGACGCUGGGAAAGUAAUGUUCUUGGAAGGAGAAUCUGAAUUGGUAAAUGUUUAAAGAUAAUGACUCUGUAAACCUUAACUACUGCAAUAAAGUUCUACUAACAGCACAGCAGCUAAUACUUGAGAGGUUUAAGAGCAAUAAUAGCAUUUUAGUGGAAUUCUGCAUAGUUCUCUAUUACAGCUACUAGUUUAAGUUACAGUCUACACCCUUUCAGUAUUACUUUCACGUAAUUUUCAUGUGUGGUAACAUUACUUAGAGUAAAAACUGAGUGAUUCUUUGUCUUAAUGUCUUAUUAACUUCGGCAAAACUUCACCAAACUGCGAGACAACUGAUAAAAGGCCUUUUGAGCCCAUUCCUUUUGUGUUCUCCUGAUUUGUGUGGAGGAGGAAACAAGUCCUUGUACAAGCAACGUGCACUCCAUAAAGAAGAGAUUUAGUAAUUGUAAGAGAUUCUCAUUACCAGAGAGGCUUAGUAGCUCUGGGUCUACUGAAUUGACAAAUUACCAGUACAUUUUCAGCUGGGGAAUGGUACUAGCUGUAUGAAUUCCAUGGUUAAGGGCAGGAGAUGGUACAGGAGUUUGCAUAAUUUGCAAGAAGUCCAUAACGUAGCACAAGUGAUUACAAUUUCAUAGGUCACAUUCAUGAAACAAAUGAGAAACAAAGUACUUGAUAGUAGUUGUUGUUAAUUGAUAGUGGAU